rnacentral:rRNA from 1 species
AACCAGUACCGUGAGGGAAAGGUGAAAAGCACUUCGAACAGAAGAGUGAAAUAGUCCCUGAACCCAUACGCCUACAAGCAGUCGGAGCCGCUUCGUGCGGUGACGGCGUGCCUUUUGCAUAAUGAGCCUACGAGUUACUCAUCACCAGCGAGGUUAAGUACUUCAGGUACGUAAGCCGAAGCGAAAGCGAGUCUGAAUAGGGCGUCAAGUUGGUGGUGGUAGACGCGAAACCUUAGUGAUCUACCCAUGGGCAGGGUGAAGGUUUGGUAACACAAACUGGAGGCCCGAACCGGUAAACGUUGAAAAGUUUUCGGAUGACCUGUGGGUAGGGGUGAAAGGCCAAUCAAACUGGGAAAUAGCUCGUACUCUCCGAAAUGCAUUUAGGUGCAGCCUCUGUUGUUUUGUUCUAGAGGUAGAGCUACUGAUUGGAUGCGAGGGCUUCACCGCCUAUCAAAUCCGGCCAAACUCCGAAUGCUAGAACAUGAAGACAGGGAGUGAGCCAGCGGGUGCUAAGGUCCGUUGACGAAAGAGGGAGAACUCAGACCAUCAGCUAAGGUCCCCAAUUAUAUGCUAAGUUGGAAUUAAAACGGGGUGGGACUGCUUAGACAGCUAGGAUGUUGGCUUGGAAGCAGCCAUUCAUUUAAAGAGUGCGUAACAGCUCACUAGUCGAGCGGUCCUGCAUGGAUAAUACGCGGGCAUAAGCAUAUAACCGAAGCUAUGGGAUUGUAGAUGAUACAAUCGGUAGGAGAGCAUUCCAUUCAGCAUAGAAGCAGUACCGUGAGGUAUUGUGGAGCGGAUGGAAAAGCAAAUGUAGGCAUAAGUAACGAUAAUGCGGGUGAGAACCCCGCACGCCGAAAGAUCAAGGAUUCCCCGGCAAUGUCAAUCAUCCGGGGGUAAGUCGGAUCCUAAGGGUAAGCCGAGUGGCGAUCCCGAUGGCAAACAGGUUAAUAUUCCUGUACUGAUCAUAACUGCGAUGCAGCGACGCAGAGGUGACACUGCUGCGUACUGACGGAAUAGUACGUUGAAACCCGUAUUCUUUGAUACCGGUAGUGAAGCACGCCGGUAGAGAUGAAAGGUGAUAGUACCGCAAUGCUUCGGUUGCGCGGAUAAUGCAGGUAAGCUGACUGCCAAGAAAACCUGCUAAGCUUCAGGUAAUGAUCAUCCGUACUGUAAACGGACACACGUGAUCAGGUAGAAAAUACUAAGGCGCUCGAGAGAUUCAUGGUUAAGGAACUAGGCAAAAUGGUCCUGUAACUUCGGGAUAAAGGACGCUCUUGUGAAAGAGCCGCAGAUAAUAGGCCCAGGCGACUGUUUACCAAAAACACAUGGCUAUGCUAAUUCGCAAGAAGAUGUAUAUGGCCUGACACCUGCCCGGUGCCGGAAGGUUAAGAGGAGAGCUCAGAGGUAACUCGAAGGUUUGAAUUGAAGCCCCGGUAAACGGCGGCCGUAACUAUAACGGUCCUAAGGUAGCGAAAUUCCUUGUCGGGUAAGUUCCGACCUGCACGAAUGGUGUAACGAUCUGGGUACUGUCUCAACCAUGAGCUCGGUGAAAUUGUAGUUCCGGUGAAGAUGCCGGAUACCCGCAACGGGACGGAAAGACCCCGUGAACCUUUACUGCAGCUUUGCAUUGAUUUUGGGUAACAGAUGUGUAGGAUAGGUCGGAGGCUUUGAUGCUGCGUCGUCAGGCGUAGAGUAGCCGUCGUUGAAAUACGACCCUUUUGUUAUCUGAGGUCUAAUCCCGUUAGGGAGACAUUGCAUGGUGGGUAGUUUGACUGGGGUGGUCGCCUCCAAAAGUGUAACGGAGGCUUCUCAAGGUACCCUCAAGGCGUUUGGUAAUCGUCUGCAGAGUGCAAUGGCAUAAGGGUGCUUGACUGUGAGACCGACACGUCGAUCAGGUUGGAAACAAGAGCAUAGUGAUCCGGUGGUUCCGCAUGGAAGGGCCAUCGCUCAAAGGAUAAAA